rnacentral:rRNA from 1 species
UGGGGAAUUUUGGACAAUGGGCGAANCUGAUCCAGCAAUGCCGCGUGUGUGAAGAAGGCCUUCGGGUUGUAAAGCACUUUUGUCCGGGAAAGAAAUCCUUGGCUCUAAUACAGUCGGGGGAUGACGGUACCGGAAGAAUAAGCACCGGCUAACUACGUGCCAGCAGCCGCGGUAAUACGUAGGGUGCAAGCGUUAAUCGGAAUUACUGGGCGUAAAGCGUGCGCAGGCGGUUUGCUAAGACCGAUGUGAAAUCCCCGGGCUCAACCUGGGAACUGCAUUGGUGACUGGCAGGCUAGAGUAUGGCAGAGGGGGGUAGAAUUCCACGUGUAGCAGUGAAAUGCGUAGAGAUGUGGAGGAAUACCGAUGGCGAAGGCAGCCCCCUGGGCAAUACUGACGCUCAUGCACGAAAGCGUGGGGAGCAAACAGGAUUAGAUACCCUGGUAGUCCACGCCCUAAACGAUGUCAACUAGUUGUUGGGGAUUCAUUUCCUAGUAACGUAGCUAACGCGUGAAGUUGACCGCCUGGGGAGUACGGUCGCAAGAUUAAAACUCAAAUAAUUG